AGUAAAAUGCAAGAUCAAUCGACAAGACUGAGAAAGGAUUAACUGGGAGCUUAACUCCUCACAUGUGGUAUUUGUUAGCAUUUACUCUUCCUCCUAACCAUUCCUAUUUCAUUCACAUAUGCCUGUUCUUCUCACAAUUGCAAUCAGCCAAAUUUACCAUAAGGAUUUAUAAGCUCUGUAGAGUAUCUGAAUUUUUAAGGGCAAAUCUUUGAAUUGUUUUCGUCUUCUGCUGCUGCUCUAUGCUUCCUAACACUGUGAAGACAGAUGGAGAAAGUAAUAGAAGAUGGAAAGCUGACUGAUCUUCACUUACUUUCUUAACUAAGAGAGAAGCUCUGGUAAAAGUCAUGCAGAGCUUGGGACUACAUAUUCCACUGGCUUCGUGUGAAAUGUGGCGUGCUACUUAAGAGACUGCCAAUAGAACCAGGCCACAGAUUAAUUCUACUGCCAAGAAAGGGAAAGCAUGUGCAUUGACUCUGAGCCAUACAGAGCUGAUGUAAUUUCAUGGCAAGAAGACUCCUGCUGCCCUUAAGAAUGUUAGUACAAGUUCUGAACUGACUUACCCUCCUCUGGAAUAAUUAUGCAUUCCACUCUGGCACAUUUUAUCAUGCAAUUCUCCUGCUUUGUAGAUUACAUGUCUUGAGGAGGUACAAAAGGGAAGAGCAAAGACUGUUUUAUUUCUAUACAUGCAUCUAACAAUUAUAUAUAUACACACAUACACACCUCAAAUAGUACUUUUAAAUGUAAAAUUAUGUGAGAAUUUACUUUACAGACUUACUUAAUAUGUACAUUAAAUACAGGUAUCCUUUCAUGCAUCAAGGAGAUGCAAGCAUCUCUUGGGAGGAACACACAAAGUAUGGGGAAAAUACAUUGUUAAAUUAUAAUUGAACAAGCUGGAACUUGUUCACGUUAAACAGCCCACCCUCAAACUGCAAAAAGCCAAAUUACGCCCUCAGCAACUUCUGAAAAGCAAACUGCCUUCAGUGGAUUUCUGCAAAUUUAACUGUCUAGAGCCUAUAGCCACAUCAGAAUAAGUCUCACUGAUCUCGGAGAUUAAGCAGUCCCCAGCCUAGUAAGUAUUUGGAUAUGAGACCACUUGGCAAUUCCACAUAGUAUUAGAUGUUAGCACAGGAUACAUUUAUAAUUGAGAGCUUGGGUGUGAGGGGGUGUUCACAACAUCAGACUUACAGAUAUCAUAAAUGAACCUUCCAAAGAGGCAUUAGGAGGAAUUUAAUAGCUUACAUCUCUCUGACUACAGCAAAAGCCUAAAAUAGGUUAAAAACAAACAAACAAAAAUUUGGAGGCUUAUCUUAAGUGGUCUGAGUUCUCUUUGCUAAUAGCAGAUAGUAAAAUCAGAAUGAAUGAAAAGACUGAAUUCGUUUAUCUGUUCUGAAAAAUAGAGAAUAAAGUAUGGUUAUGUUCACGAAA